rnacentral:lncRNA from 1 species
CAAAUAUUAUGUCUAUCUAUUAUGUAAAAGUUUAUGUUUUACAGUGUGCAGGUUCCGUGAGCAAAGUGUUUACUGGAACCCCCCCAAAAAACAGCCAAUAAAUGGUUAAUAAGACAGUGUCUGUUGACCUUAAAACCAGAUGAGCAGAACACUCCUUCCACAGGGUGUGGUUUCCUCUAUAAUAAAGCCCUGCUAUCAUAUCUGUGUUUAUUUCAUCUGAGCCAGGAAUCGUCUUCACAUCUCCACUAAAGGAUCCCACAUUAACCAGCAUCUCUAUGGCACAGGUGUGGAUAGAGUAUGGCUCAGAGAGCCAGGGCCAUUUCAAGACCUUUCAGAAGUACUUUGAGAAAAACAAGAGCGUUUCAGUGACUGGACAAGUUGGAAGGCCAAGCAGCUUUGAGGUGCAUGUAAAUGGCCAGAUGGUCCAUUCCACGCUUCAGACCAGACAGUUACCAAAUCCUCAGGUGGUGACUCCAUGGAUUACUAGUUCAUCAUGUGCUAGAGGUUCCUGACGUUAAAGAAGCAGAGGUGGAAACAGCAGCUGGACUCACACUGAGAACAGUAGUUGUUUUUUUAAAUCUCUGCUAGAACACAUAAACGAUAAGAUCAGCGUUUAAAAAAAGUGAGGUUAAAAUGUUGGUGCUAGCAUUGUUCCAUCCUGUUGCACAGCACUUCUGUUUAUGAUUGUUCACGCUUAAAACACAGGCGGUGUGAACAUGAUGCUAAUCCAGAAGCUGCUCAGCAGACCAGAGUCUGAAGGUCUGCUCUUUAAAUCCAGGAAAACACACACACACACACACACACACACACACACACACACACACACACACUCACUCAUAUAGGGAACAGGAAACUACACACUUAAUAUCUGAUUUUAAAUCAAAGCAUUUAUCUCUAUUGCCAUGACAACAAUUGCAUCAUGUAUUCUCCAGUAGUUAUUUCUAGGUGUUAUAUUUACUUAGAAUGUUUUGAACAAUGUCAUGUAUAAUCACUUAUCAAAUUCAAUAAAUACUUGUAAAAUCUAGACUGUGUGUGUGUG